rnacentral:rRNA from 1 species
UACGGAGGGUGCGAGCGUUGUUCGGAAUUAUUGGGCGUAAAGCGCGCGUAGGCGGCUUCUUAAGUCUCGCUGUGAAAGCCCGGGGCUCAACCCCGCGGACUGCAGGGGAUACUGGGGAGCUGGAGACAGGUAGAGGCUAACGGAAUUCCGGGUGUAGCGGUGGAAUGCGUAGAGAUCCGGAAGAACACCAGAGGCGAAGGCGGUUAGCUGGACCUGGUCUGACGCUGAGGCGCGAAAGCGUGGGGAGCGAACAGGAUUAGAAACCCCCGUAGUCC